rnacentral:rRNA from 1 species
CGAGGCAUCUUGGGGUGUGGAAAGUUCCGGCGGUGCAGGAUGAGCCCGCGGCCUAUCAGCUUGUUGGUGGGGUAAUGGCCUACCAAGGCGACGACGGGUAGCCGGCCUGAGAGGGUGACCGGCCACACUGGGACUGAGACACGGCCCAGACUCCUACGGGAGGCAGCAGUGGGGAAUAUUGCACAAUGGGCGAAAGCCUGAUGCAGCGACGCCGCGUGAGGGAUGACGGCCUUCGGGUUGUAAACCUCUUUCAGCAGGGAAGAAGCGAAAGUGACGGUACCUGCAGAAGAAGCACCGGCUAACUACGUGCCAGCAGCCGCGGUAAUACGUAGGGUGCGAGCGUUGUCCGGAAUUAUUGGGCGUAAAGAGCUCGUAGGCGGUUUGUCGCGUCGAUUGUGAAAGCCCGGGGCUUAACCCUGGGUCUGCAGUCGAUACGGGCAGGCUAGAGUUCGGCAGGGGAGACUGGAAUUCCUGGUGUAGCGGUGAAAUGCGCAGAUAUCAGGAGGAACACCGGUGGCGAAGGCGGGUCUCUGGGCCGAUACUGACGCUGAGGAGCGAAAGCGUGGGGAGCGAACAGGAUUAGAUACCCUG